GACGAACGCUGGCGGCGUGGGAUUAGGCAUGCAAGGUCGAACGGUAGGAGUACCUUCGGGUAUCUGAGAGUGGCGAACGGGUGAGUAACACGUAGGUGAUCUACCCUCAAGAUUGGGACAACCCAGGGAAACUUGGGCUAAUACCGGAUGAAAGCAGCAGUGAUGUUGUUUGAAAGGUGGCGUAAGCUGCCGUUUGGGGAUGAGCCUGCGCUCUAUUAGUUAGUUGGCGGGGUAAAGGCCCACCAAGGCGAUGAUAGAUAGGCGGCCUUAACGGGUGGUCGCCCACACUGGGAUUGAGAUACGGCCCAGACUCCUACGGGAGGCAGCAGUCGAGAAUAGUCUACAAUGGCCGAAAGGCUGAUAGUGCGACGCCGCGUGAACGAAGAAGCCCUUCGGGGUGUAAAGUUCUUUUAUAUGUGAGCAGUGCUUUCUAUGUGAACAGCAUGGGGAGAGAGAUAUUAGCAUAUGAAUAAGCAACGGCUAACUCCGUG
rnacentral:rRNA from 1 species